UGGUGUUUAAAGUAUAGUGGAACCACAUUGAUCCAUCUCGAACUCAAAAGUGAAACAUUAUAACAGCGACAAUACUAAAGAGGGGGCUCUUUGGAAAGAUAGCUUAUGCCAAGAUU
rnacentral:rRNA from 2 species